GCAGAGCUGCCGGAGGGCCACUACAGUCGGGGGAUCCAUGAAUUGGAAGACCGUUGGGGUGGGUGUGUUGAGGUUGAGGGAGGCUGCGCUGAGGAAUGGGGUCAUUUUUGCAGGUAGGAAUUGGUUUCUUCAUUUCUGUUCCACGAACUUAUUGAACAACCGGAUAUAAGUUUAAUGUUUGUGAAGUCUGUGUUUCAAUAAGAAUUCCAAACAAUCUGAGUGAAGCUUAAUUAAGCUAUUAGUGCAGAAACAUUGAUAAAUGAAAAGUGAAUACAAAACAGAAAUAUUAUAACUUAAUGUAGCCAUUCUUUAGUUAAAACUUUAUAAAUAACCAUGUUAUAUUUUGAACUUUAAAAUGCCCAUUAAUUUAAGAAUGAGUUCCAAAACUAAGAUAACAUUCAUUUGUGGUGAUAUUUUGACAUUUUUUUCACUACAUUUAGUUGUUUUUUUGAGUCAUAAUAUGGAACUUCAAUUUUCUGAAGAAUGUCAUCAAAACUGUACCAAAGUUUGUCCUCAAUUUUUGGCCACUUCCAUCCACUGGAACUCACUAACAUAACUGUUAUAUAAGCUUUUGUUUGUUUCGUUUAUAAUACUUUUCCUGGAUAGUAUUCCCCUUCAUUCUGAACGAUUACAAAAUCAUUUGAUUUCACAUACAAAUUAUUCUCAUGACAACUCUCAGCCGAUGUUGUUUCGCUAAACACUCAUCAGCCUCAUCUUCGGAUUUUAGCACUACUCUGAUUGAUGAAUCAGAUGAAGCAUCUGAAAGUUCCACAUUUCUUGUCUUUCGUUUAGUCUGAGCAUUCUUUAUUUUUUUUGUCAUCUUAUUCUCUUCUCGUUUCUUUCUUCUUGCUUCUUUCUCUUGUUCUAGGUGUUCCUUAACCUCUCUCUUUCUAGUAUGUACUUCUUCCACACAUUUGACGUCACAACUGAAGGAAUUUUCUCUUUGGUUCGUCUGUUUGAUGUACUAGAUUGUUCAGGCCAAAACAAUGCUUUUCUGAAUGGUGAAGGAAUUGUUUGCCCACUAACACUAUUCGUAUUUCUUAUUGGAGAUGUAGAGCCUAAGUAUGAUUUGUUCUUCUACACUCCUUUUGAUGUGCUUGGGCUUUGUGAUAAUAGAGAAUGAUUCUCCACAUUUAAUAACAAAAAUGAUGCAGAACUGUCUGUUCCCAUCUCUGAAUGUUCUUCCAUUACUGAUUUCCAAAGAUAAAAAAGUUUUGUAUCUUCAAUAGCACCUGUCCAUGUAUUGCCAGAUUUAGAAAAUAAUGAUACUUUUUCCAAACCAAUCUUUUGCUCUAAAAGCAACAACAAAUCAUUCCUGUAAGAGCUUUGAUUUUGCUGAUUAUAUAUUUGUUGUUCUGCUGUUUCUGUUUAUAUAAGCUUAAGUACUUUUUUGUAAUCUACAGCAUCAGCAUUGAAAGGACAUAACCCACAUACUCUAAAUCCAUUCUUGACUAUUGCAUGUGUCACGGAAACUGUUAAAACUUUAUGUAGAGGUGGAGAAAAAUCACCAGAGAGGAGUACUAGAAAUCUGGAAGGCUUUAGCUGCUGUAGCAAGAGGAAUCCCCUCUCUUCACAGCUGCAAUGGCAUCUUUCAUCUAUUGUUGAGAGUAAUUCAUUAUCUUUUUCUUUGUGUGAGUCAUACCAAUUCUUAUGUGUACCUGAUGGAUAAAUACAUUAGUUAAUAUAUAUACUUAUUAUGUGUAAAGUUUGAAUAGGACAAUUUAAUAGCUUAAAAUAUGAAACUGUCAGCCUCACGAAUGAUAUUGCUAUAGUUGCUCCUAUAGCUGUCACUCCUUGUUAGAUAUUGGUAAAAGUCACCCAAAACACCGAGGUUUUAACAGGUGUUAUGAAUUUAUUCUUUAAACGAUAUCAAUACAAAAAUGUGGCAUGAAGAUUUUUUUUUUGUUUUGUACCAAAGCCUGACACAUGGUGUUAGGUAUUGGAACUUCAACCAUAAUUCAUGUAUCAAUAUCUGACACCCUAGGUGCCUAAAAACCAAACUUACACUUACAUAGAAUCAAUGAUUAUUGAUGCCUUACACACUAUCAGAAUCAAAAUAAAACAAUACUCUAUUUCAAAGUCAUCAUAAUUGUUUGAAUUUCAGUGUGGAUAGAUUCAUUUGUGAGCUUACCAUUUCGACAAGGAUUUUCUCAUUGUUUUAGAUAUCUUAUAUGGCGAUGUCGUUCUUCCCAUCAUCCAUCUUGUCAACUAUAAUCAGAGAACAAAUGACUAUGAAGCAGUGUUACCAAUAGAAUGAACUGCUAGGUAAUCAUUUGCAAGCCCAAAUAGAUACCAUUUCCAAGCUUAUUACAACAAUUUUGCAUUAUAAGUGUUAGUCUUUGGGUCAGUGUCAGCCUUUGGUGCACUUACCUUAAAUGUUAAAAAUUUGUUUUCUUCAUUACUAUUGAC
rnacentral:lncRNA from 1 species